UGUAAGGGUCAGGCCCCCGCCCGCGGCUUGAUCCUCUCUCCCUUGCUCGCUCCAGAGCUGCCCCGCCCCGCUUGGCUUCCCGGCGCUCGGCGUCCUCCCACCCGGAUCCAUUGCACACCGUGGCCAGGCGUCGAUGGAGCCCCGUGGCUCCUGCCCAGCCAACCUGCUCUCCUCUUCCAGUUGAUCCUCUGGCACACGGCUGAGGUAAGGCAUAAGUUGGAAGGAUACAUGCACUCAAGUUUUCUAUCUUCAGUUUUCUUAUGUCGGCUGGACCCGGUUGAGGGUAAGAAUGGAGUCAGCUAUUUUGGGUGUUUGCCUCUGUGUCUGGAACUGUUGGGCAUAUGAAAGCUGCAUCAUCUCAAAUCAUUGUCAGAACCUGGUAGUGAAUGUUUUGGCCCUUUAAGUGGACUGGGGAACUAAGGCUAAACCAGAGCAUUAGUUAGCAAUGAUAGGACCAACCAAAUGGGAGCCCAGCCUUUUAAAGCUGGAGGACAAGACUACUUCCCAGGAGUUCAGAACCAGGUCGAGUCCUCUGUAUGCAGGUACUGAAGACAACUGGCUUACACGGAUGCAUAAAUAAUCAGAUGAAGAGAGCAGUGGCCUAUUCAUUGUUUGAGAGGGACAAACCAGAUGAACAGAUUAAAUGGAUACACAACCCCCAUUCACCAGGAUCACACAGGAGGCAAACAAAACAAACACACUGGGCAUGGUAAGCCCACAGAGAACCAUGAGCAAAUUGGAGGUGGAGGUAGCUGGGUUUGGAGAGCUCCUCAAAGAGAUGACCUGUAAGACUGUGAGCUACUUAAGAAAGUGGGCUUGGAGCACGGCUGGCACUUUGCCUAGAGCAGGGUGUGUGCGUGGUUUAUGAAACAGUGAACUUCCUGAAGUCAAGGAGGACGGUGGAUCUGUUACUCACAGAGCGCCUGGCAAACAGGCAGGACAUAGUUGGUGCUGGCUGAAGGGGCACUAUUAUCAAAUCAGUAACAGAUUUCAUAAGAAACCCUAUCCUGCACCAGCAUUCCAUGACUUAUACUAAUAAUGUUAUUGCAAUUUUCACAACCAUCCAAGAAAGCAUUUUUUAGAGAAGUCAAACAAUCUGACCAAGGUGCCUUCCUACGUAGUAGAGAGGGACUCAGUUGCCCAUUUGCUGUAGUCUAAACUCUGUGCCCAAGUUCCAGUUCUCAAAGAGGAAAGUGCUUACUUUUUACCCUCUUCUGCCCUCGAGGAUGGCCUUUUUUAGGGGGAUCCUGACCUCUUCCCUUAGGCCUGGAAUCUCUACUUAAGCGUGUUCGAAGCUACUUGUCUCCUUUGAGGACACCUGAAGAAGCCCCUGUUCCAUCAGAAGCUUUUCCUGUCAACAGCUUUUCUUUCUAACCAGGGAGCUCAUCAUAGGUAUUUUCCAAAAAAGAAAGCCAGGGGAAUCACAUUUCAGUCUGAAUGUGGAGAGAAAACAAAGACCGGGACUUGAAGCUAAGUCUGAAUGGCCCCUGGGUCUCCUUCUGGUGGACUUGUUCACACGGUGUGUAACUGCCCCUGGUAUCAAAUAUGGUGUGCUUGUCUUUGUUACAGAAAAUACUUCUCUGGGGGAUUCAAGCAGAGGCCUAUUGCCCGGUGUGACAGGCACAGUGUGUCUGAGAGGCCAAGACAGAGACGCAUGAAAAGAACCUUCAUUUACCCUAAAGUACAGGUCACUAGCCUCUGGUGGCUUUGUCCCAAGUGCAGGGCAAUUUCCUUGGUCCAGCCUUCUAGUUUUUAGAAUGCAAACCCUUUGGAGCCGCAACAAACAUGACUUCUGUGGGUGGCUGGGCAGUUGGAGGGCUCAGUAUUUGCAAUCAAAUGAGAGACUGGGAUCCAGUGAACUCCUGUGAUGUGUUAAGUUUUCAACCUGACAUUUCUGCACUGAUAUAUUUGUGUAAUGGUGCCUGAGUUAAAAGCUCCAUUUGGAGGCCAGCAGUUAGGUUUUAAAAAAAAUCUACCACCUAAGGGGUUGGGUGCGGUAAACAUGCUUUCCCUCCGAAGGAAAACCUCUCAUUUGUAGUUCUUUGCUAACCCAAUUAAAUGUUGAAGUGGUCACCCCAGAGCCUGCUUUUUAUUUCCUGAGAAACAAUCCAACUAAUCCAUAUUCAGUAGCUUCUAAGAAAAGUCUUCUUCCAACCACUCAUGAAGAAACCAGCUUCUUUGAAUCUAGACAGAACAUUUAGAAAUCACAAAGAGCUGUCUUGAUAGAAAAUGCAAGAGAGCGAUU
rnacentral:lncRNA from 1 species